rnacentral:misc_RNA from 1 species
CAGAAUUCGGCUUGGUUACCCCUAAGAUUGAUACAUAUGCUUUUGGGGUAAUUUUGUUGGAAUUAGUUACAGGAAAAGAAGCUGUGUUCAUGCAGGACGAAAGAGAAAUGCAAUUAUCAGAAACAAUCAUUUUAGUUAUGGAAAAAGAAGAUGCUCAAGCUCGGCUUUGCUGCCUUGUAGAUCCAAUUCUGCGCUCACGGUGCUCCAUGGAAGUUGUCCUGCGAAUGGUAAGGUUGAGUCUAGCCUGCUUACAACAGGAACCAGAAAGUAGACCAAGUAUGGCUGAAAUAGUUUCCUCCCUUUCAAAGAUUCAAUUGGAUGUUCACAGAUCAGAAUCUGUGUUAGUUAGGUAUGUUUAACUUUUUGUAAG